UGAAGUGCAAGGCAUGNAUUUUCCCCUGA
rnacentral:piRNA from 1 species